rnacentral:rRNA from 1 species
UACGGAGGGUGCAAGCGUUAUCCGGAUUCACUGGGUUUAAAGGGUGCGUAGGUGGGUUGGUAAGUCAGUGGUGAAAUCUCCGGGCUCAACCCGGAAACUGCCAUUGAUACUAUCUGUCUUGAAUAUCGUGGAGGUAAGCGGAAUAUGUCAUGUAGCGGUGAAAUGCUUAGAUAUGACAUAGAACACCAAUUGCGAAGGCAGCUUACUACCCGAAUAUUGACACUGAGGCACGAAAGCGUGGGGAUCAAACAGG